rnacentral:rRNA from 1 species
UACGAAGGGGGCUAGCGUUGCUCGGAAUCACUGGGCGUAAAGCGCACGUAGGCGGGUCUUUAAGUCAGGGGUGAAAUCCUGGAGCUCAACUCCAGAACUGCCUUUGAUACUGGGGAUCUCGAGUCCGGAAGAGGCGAGUGGAAUUCCCGGUGUAGCGGUGAAAUGCGCAGAUAUCGGGAGGAACACCAAUGGCGAAGGCAGCUCGCUGGGACGGUACUGACGCUGAGACGCGAAAGCGUGGGGAGCAAACAGG